rnacentral:rRNA from 1 species
AUUGAACGCUGGCGGCAGGCCUAACACAUGCAAGUCGAGCGGAUGAAGGGAGCUUGCUCCUGGAUUCAGCGGCGGACGGGUGAGUAAUGCCUAGGAAUCUGCCGGGUAGUGGGGGGAUAACGUCCGGAAACGGGCGCUAAUACCGCAUACGUCCUGAGGGAGAACGUGGGGGAUCUUCGGACCUCACGCUAUCAGAUGAGCCUAGGUCGGAUUAGCUAGUUGGUGGGGUAAAGGCCUACCAAGGCGACGAUCCGUAACUGGUCUGAGAGGAUGAUCAGUCGCCUUGGAACUGAGCCACGGUCCAGGCUCCUACGAGAGGCAGCAGUGGGGAAUAUUGGACAAUGGGCGAAAGCCUGAUCCAGCCAUGCCGCGUGUGUGAAGACGGUCUUCGGAUUGUAAAGCACUUUAAGUUGGGAGGAAGGGCAGUAAGUUAAUACCUUGCUGUUUUGACGUUACCAACAGAAUAAGCACCGGCUAACUUCGUG